AUGCAGUAUGGUCAUGUUUGAAUCAACAUUUUGAAACAUUCCCAUGCCUCAUAGAAACUUUCUCCCUCCAUCUGUCUAAACACAGGAAUCUCUCUUCUUAGUUG
rfam:Gossypium raimondii chromosome 5, whole genome shotgun sequence.